AUGAACGCUGGCUACAGGCUUAACACAUGCAAGUCGAGGGGAAACGACGGGGAAGCUUGCUUCCCCGGGCGUCGACCGGCGCACGGGUGAGUAACGCGUAUCCAACCUGCCUCUGACUGAGGGAUAACCCGUCGAAAGUCGGCCUAAUACCUCAUGGUAUCGUCUGCGGGCAUCCAACGACGAUUAAAGAUUUCAUCGGUCAGGGAUGGGGAUGCGUCUGAUUAGCUUGUUGGCGGGGUAACGGCCCACCAAGGCUACGAUCAGUAGGGGUUCUGAGAGGAAGGUCCCCCACAUUGGAACUGAGACACGGUCCAAACUCCUACGGGAGGCAGCAGUGAGGAAUAUUGGUCAAUGGGCGAGAGCCUGAACCAGCCAAGUAGCGUGCAGGAAGACGGCCCUAUGGGUUGUAAACUGCUUUUAUGCGGGGAUAAAGUGAGGGACGUGUCCCUCAUUGCAGGUACCGCAUGAAUAAGGACCGGCUAAUUCCGU
rnacentral:rRNA from 1 species